AUUCCAGCUCCAAUAGCGUAUAUUAAAGUUGCUGCAGUUAAAAAGCUCGUAGUUGGAUCUUGGGAGCGGGCGGGCGGUCCGCCGCGAGGCGAGCCACCGCCCGUCCCCGCCCCUUGCCUCUCGGCGCCCCCUCGAUGCUCUUAGCUGAGUGUCCCGCGGGGCCCGAAGCGUUUACUUUGAAAAAAUUAGAGUGUUUAAAGCAGGCCCGAGCCGCCUGGAUACCGCAGCUAGGAAUAAUGGAAUAGGACCGCGGUUCUAUUUUGUUGGUUUUCGGAACUGAGGCCAUGAUUAAGAGGGACGGCCGGGGGCAUUCGUAUUGCGCCGCUAGAGGUGAAAUUCUUGGACCGGCGCAAGACGGACCAGAGCGAAAGCAUUUGCCAAGAAUGUUUUCAUCA
rnacentral:rRNA from 1 species